GCCCUGGUGGUGGAAUUGGUAGACACAAGGGAUUUAAAAUCCCUCGGCGUUCGCGCUGUGCCGGUUCAAGUUCGGCCCGGGGCACCA
rnacentral:tRNA from 1 species